GACGAACGCUGGCGGCGUGCUUAACACAUGCAAGUCGAACGGUAAGGCCCUUCGGGGUACACGAGUGGCGAACGGGUGAGUAACACGUGGGUGAUCUGCCCUGCACUUCGGGAUAAGCCUGGGAAACUGGGUCUAAUACCGGAUAGGACCACUGCCUGCAUGGGUGGGGGUGGAAGGGUUUUGCGGUGUGGGAUGGGCCCGCGGCCUAUCAGCUUGUUGGUGGGGUGAUGGCCUACCAAGGCGACGACGGGUAGCCGGCCUGAGAGGGUGACCGGCCACACUGGGACUGAGAUACGGCCCAGACUCCUACGGGAGGCAGCAGUGGGGAAUAUUGCACAAUGGGCGCAAGCCUGAUGCAGCGACGCCGCGUGAGGGAUGACGGCCUUCGGGUUGUAAACCUCUUUCAGCACUGACGAAGCGCAAGUGACGGUAGGUGCAGAAGAAGGACCGGCCAACUACGUGCCAGCCGCCGCGGUAA
rnacentral:rRNA from 1 species